rnacentral:misc_RNA from 1 species
UCCGGUUUGUCACCGGCAGUCACCUUAGAGUGCCCAACUGAAUGAUGGCAACUAAGAUCAAGGGUUGCGCUCGUUGCGGGACUUAACCCAACAUCUCACGACACGAGCUGACGACAACCAUGCACCACCUGUCACCAAUGUCCCCGAAGGGAAAACUCUAUCUCUAGAGUGGUCACUGGGAUGUCAAGACCUGGUAAGGUUCUUCGCGUUGCUUCGAAUUAAACCACAUGCUCCACCGCUUGUGCGGGCCCCCGUCAAUUCCUUUGAGUUUCAACCUUGCGGUCGUACUCCCCAGGCGGAGUGCUUAAUGCGUUAGCUGCAGCACUAAGGGGCGGAAACCCCCUAACACUUAGCACUCAUCGUUUACGGCAUGGACUAC